rnacentral:lncRNA from 1 species
CCUCUUCUCAACUCCUCCUAUACUAUUGUGUGUCCCACCCUUAUCAAAGAAGGCUAUCUUUGGCUAAUUCAUCUUAAAAAUUUGGUAGAACAAGGUAGAGAAUAAGUGUAUAUCACCCAUUCUUCAUAUGUAUGCCUGGGUAAUUUUGAAGGAUAUCAUCUCCAGACACUCUGUGCAAAGAACAGAGGCAAGCCUCCAGCCAGGAGCUCAUGAAAUCAUGAACUGAGGCCUCAGUGCAAUAGCUCAUGAGGAAAUGAAUUAUUUCAACAGCCAGUUCUGGAAGUUGGAAGUACAAGAUCAGAUUGCCAGCAUCAUCAGAUUUGAUAUCAAAGUAAUGUCAAGUGCUUCUGACCCACUGCAUUAAACGUGUGCUGAGCAGUUGGUGGUAGAAGACAUUAUUGUGAAGGCUGCUCACCACCAAUUUCAUCACUGUUGCUAACUCCAGCUCAUCUAAUCUCUGCAACAUCUGCUACCAGCACCUUCUCUUGCCUCCUUUUGUGAACAUAGUUUUUUCUUCUGGUUAGAAAAUCAGUUCGAACUUCUUGAGUUUUGUGUUUUAAACUCUUCUCAACUGUUCCGAUGAUUGAUGGAUGGCCCAGAGGCGACCUCUUUAUCUCCAGCAACAUAUUUGGCUGUUGGCCCGGUAGAGAGGUACUCCAGAAGCUUGCUGGUUCAUCAUGCUCUCAUCUUUAACCACAACUAUUUAUCUGACUCCUUCCAUCUCCACAGCACUGUGUGAGGGAUCAGUGAUAAGAGACGGUGAAAGACAUGCGCAAAUGGAUAAAUAAUAAGCAGGAUAUGUAGAAUGACACAACAAUUGAUGAGUAAUUUAGGAGAUCCAAUAACUAAAAAAAAAAAGACUGGGGACAAGUUCAUGGAAAGAGUAAUCAACUAAGCCUUAUAACAUAAAAUUGACAAAUAGAGAAGGCAUGCAAUCCAGUAGAAUAGAGUGCAAAAGAGGUAGAAGACUAAUCGUUUCAAGACAUGUUGAGCCACAACAGCAAUAACAUUGUGACAAAAAACGUCGGUGUAGACUGCAGAAGAUCUUCAAUGACGGAUCAAGCUGUAUAGACUUUUUUUUACCCUCAUAUACUGAAUAGUCAUUUAAGGUAUACAGUGCCAACGUAAGAGAGAAAGGUAAACUUUUUUUAACACAAGUUGUAGGCCUUGGAAAGAAGUUUUCCAGUAACAAGAUAACACGAUAAUGUACUGUGGUUAUAAGCUCAAAGUGGUAUAUUUGAUUCAGUGUUCCCAGAACCACCAAAACCUUGGAACCAUUGUUUAGCUAAAGCUACUAGAACAACAGAAUAACCUACUCUGUGGCAUUGUAAAGUAAAAUUAUACUACACACAAAUACUUGACAUAAAAUACAUUUCCAAACUCAAUUAUUAGGGAUAACAUAAGCACAAAAUGAUGCUUUGCAAACAUCAUGUAUCCUAUAACUGGAGAAAAAAAAUUAAUGACAUGAAGUGAAAUGACUGAGUUCUGAAGCUACAUCUCAAUUUAAAUAGCAUAAGCAAUUUAGUAUACAACAUUCUUCAAAAUCAAUUGUUGAAGGUUAACUAUAAUCUACAUACAAAAACAACUUUGUCAACUUUUUGUACGGAUUUUCCUUCUAAACAUAUUUACUUUAUGUGUAAAAUCAAAAAAUUUCCUGAGUUAAAGGCUAAGACUUGACUUUAUGAAUACAUGCCCAAAAAUUGGUGGUGGCUGGUUUCUGUUUUUAUUUUGUAAGCUUAGUAUAAUGGUUGUCCAGAACUUGUAAGCAAUGACCUCAUUUCUAAGCGGACAAGAUGCAAAAGACCAUUUUUACAGAUUAACCAUCUGGUUCCUUUAGGAAGAGUAAUAUUUCAACAGGUUCCUGUAUUUCAAGAAUAUAAAUAAUUAAAAAGAUGAAGAUAUGUGAAAUACACAAAGAAAAAAAUAGAGAAAAUAGCAUUUAAAGCAAAUUAUCCUAGCUCCCUCAAUUAAUAUUUUAAAACCAUGACAAUCAGUUAUUAAUAUAAAUUGUUAAUUUUAUUUAAUACAACAUCAAUAUAAUUCAUACCAUCUUCUUCAACUAGGUGGUCUAUCAUUUUGGAGUUUCUUUCCACCUCUGGAGAAUUGCUCAGGAAAUCUGGCUAACAUACCAAAUAAAUCAAAUGGAUUUAAUGAGAUGGUUUUUGGCUAGUUUCUAUAUUCUUGUAUACACAUGCAUGUAACACAUAAAUGUGGUGCUGUUCACAGUUAGAGGCGCAAGAGAAAAAAGUAGC